AGGGUGGCAGGUGGGUGGGAUUUGGGGAUUUGCAGAAUUAAUGAUAUCUGCAGUGAGGAAUCUGCCCCCUGCGGGAGCCGGCAGAGCAGGGAAAUCACCUGUGACCGCUUCCUCGGAUGUGCCCUCCUGUAAAUAACCUGCAGAUGAAAAUGUCAAGCCUGGAGCUUGUGACGCCGGGCUAAAGCAGGGGAUGAGCAGAGGGAAAUUUGUGUGUGGUGUGGGAGGGCGAGACACGGGGAGAGUGAUGGGGGAGACAGUCAGUGCGCGACGGAGAUGCAAACCCCCACAGGGAGGGCUGGAGCCGAAAUCUGCAGGGAACGGGCUGGGAGAGACCCCAGAAGAUGCUUGUGGGGCUCUGUGAGGAUGGGAGGGUGUGUGCUGGGCUCUGCACUGACUCUGCCUUAGCACUGAGGUCCCAGAAUGUCCGGCUGGCUCCCUCUUCCAAGGGUGAGCUUCAGGGAAGGGAUUUUCCCGGUUAAACACGGAGAUGUGUCCUUUCAUCCACAGAGAAACACACAGCGUGGAGAGAUGGCUGCUCCCCUUCCCUGGCCACCUCCAAAGAAAGAGUCUUGGCCCUUUGCUUCUCUGCUGAGUGUUAAUUAGAGGGCCAAUUAGUGUUCAAGGUCAACUGGAUUUGCUCGCUGCAGCAGCAAUUGGAGGGAGCCCAUCUCCUCAUUUGGGGAGGUGGGAGGCUGCUCCCUCUCCAUCAUCACCCUGGCAGCGUGCUGUGCACAUCUGGACUGCUGUGUGCACAUCUGUGCAGCCCCUACACGGCUGAUGGGAAGCAGCAGUGGACAGCAGGAUGUCGAGGAGAAGGCAGGUGUGAAACAGCCCAGGAACAGAGAACUCAGCAAGGGUCAGCAUCCUCAGCCUCAGUUUCCACUGCUGAAUCUUGCUCCAGCGGGAGGAUUUGGCCCUUCCUGGGCAGUCAGGACAUGCAAUAUCCUCUCCAGGAAUUGGUGUGUGCAGGGAUAACACUGGCAGCUCCAGUGCAGCAUGACUGGAUGUUGCACCAUCCCAGCUGACCUGAACAUUUGGAUUUUUUUGGGUGCAGGACAGGCAGCAGAGCCGGCUUUUCAUGGCUGCCUCAAGUGCAAAGGCACAGGAAAACACUUUCAUGUGGUUCUCCCCAGCCUCCAGUGUCCUGCCAGGUGGGCUGUGCCGCUGUGUCUGUGCCUGGAAAAGAUUUUGUAGCUGAGAUUUUGUCACCUCUCCUCAGCCCAUGUGUCCACAGCCCCCACCCUGGCCUUGCCAUCGGGAUUUCUGGGCACAAAACAAGGAGCAAGCGGAGCUGGAACACGCACAGCUGCUGAUGCCUGCACCCGGUGUGUGACACAAGUACCCUGCCCCAUCCCUGUAUUCCUCCCAUCCUGAAAUUCCCCGUGGCUGCAGGAACAUCCCUACAGCGUGCAGCCAGGACUGUGCACGUGCCCUGAGAGACACAGGCACGUCCACCACCUCCUCCACCAGCUCCUGCCUUCCCCACAGGCAAAGCUGGCUGUGUGAAAUCUGUGCUGGGGGCAUCCGCUUGAUACCAGCUCCAGUCCAAAGCCGAUGAGGAAUGCACAGACUGGCAGUGCUGGACUGCAUACUAAUGGUGUGAGAGCUCGCAGGGAGCAGGGAAGAGAAAGGGAAGGAGCCAGACUGCAGCUCCUGGCUACCCACGAUUGAUUUAUUACCAGGUUUGCUGAUGAAUGUGUGAGAAACGCUAUUGGUGAUAAAGCAGAAAGCCCGUAAUUAAAGUAACAGCUUUCAGUUUUUAAGCACUGCUUGGGUGUUUUCUUCUCUCUGGCAAAUUUUGUGGCUCGGUGCCACUCGGCAGCAUCCUCCUCCCACCAUCCCCAGCCUCAGCUGCCUUUGGCUCCAGCCUGGAGGCGCUGUGCCAGCCUGGCAGUUGGUGAGGGGCUGGGCACGCUGUGAUUUGGUCAGUGGCUGAUUUAGGGAGGGAAUAUGGCAUUUUUG
ensembl:lncRNA